AGAGUUUGAUCAUGGCUCAGGACGAACGCUGGCGGCGCGCCUAACACAUGCAAGUCGAACGGAGUUAUGUUGGUUGAAGUUUUCGGAUGGAUACCGACAUAACUUAGUGGCGAACGGGUGAGUAACGCGUGAGUAACCUGCCCUGGAGUGGGGGACAACAGUUGGAAACGACUGCUAAUACCGCAUAAGCCCACGGCCCGGCAUCGGGCUGAGGGAAAAGGAUUUAUUCGCUUCAGGAUGGACUCGCGUCCAAUUAGCUAGUUGGUGAGGUAACGGCCCACCAAGGCGACGAUUGGUAGCCGGACUGAGAGGUUGAACGGCCACAUUGGGACUGAGAUACGGCCCAGACUCCUACGGGAGGCAGCAGUCGGGAAUAUUGCGCAAUGGAGGAAACUCUGACGCAGUGACGCCGCGUGCAGGAAGAAGGUUUUCGGAUUGUAAACUGCUUUAGACAGGGAAGAAACAAGACAGUACCUGUAGAAUAAGCUCCGG
rnacentral:rRNA from 1 species